UGCAAGUCGAGCGAAGCUUUUCAGUAGUUUACUACAGAAAAUGACUGAGCGGCGAACGGGUGAGUAACGCGUGAGCAACCUACCUUAGUUACUGGGAUAGCCCGAGGAAACUCGGAUUAACACCGGAUAAUCUUAUUUAAUCUCAUGAUUUUUUAAGGAAGGGUCAGCCGAACUAAGAUGGGCUCGCGUUCUAUCAGCUAGUUGGUAGGGUAAUGGCCUACCAAGGCUACGACGGAUAGCUGGUCUGAGAGGACGAUCAGCCACACUGGGACUGAGACACGGCCCAGACUCCUACGGGAGGCUGCAGCAGGGAAUAUUGCGCAAUGAGCGAAAGCUUGACGCAGCGACACCGCGUGUGGGAUGACGGAUCUAGGUUUGUAAACCACUUUCAGGAGGGAAGAAAAUGACGGUACCUCCACAAGAAGCCCCGGCCAACUACGUGCCAGCAGCCGCGGUAAUACGUAGGGGGCGAGCGUUGUCCGGAUUUAUUGGGCGUAAAGAGCACGUAGGCGGUUCAACAAGUCGGUCGUGAAAGUUCAGGGCUCCACCCUGAAAUGUCGAUCGAUACUGUUGUGACUA
rnacentral:rRNA from 1 species